UGACUGUGCAAAGGUAGCAUAAUCAUUUGACUUUUAAAUGGAGCCUAGAAUGAAAGAGAGAACGUAGAUGAGUUGUCUCAUUAGCAGUACUUUUAAAUUAAUAUAUGAGUGAAAAUACUCAUAAAUUUAAAAAUAGACGAGAAGACCCUUAGAAUUUUAAAAAUAUACAUUCAUAAAAUGUAAGGUUUUUUGUUGGGGCAACAAUAUUUCAUUAAAUAAAUAUACUACUAAAUGAUAUGUCGAUUUAAAUAAUUAUAGUAAAAUUACCUAAGGGAUAACAGCAUAAUUUUAAAAGUAAGUUUGUGACCUCGAUGUUGGACUAGGUACUAUUAAGGCUAAUCGUUUUAAUAUAAUAUGUUCUGUUCGAACUUUAUUACCUACAUGAUC
rnacentral:rRNA from 1 species